UUUUCCUACGGGACGCAGCAGUUAGGAAUAUUCGUCAAUGGGGGAAACCCUGAACGAGCAAUGCCGCGUGAACGAUGACGGUCCUCUGGAUUGUAAAGUUCUGUUGUUUGGGAAGAACGGCUCUAAUAGGAAAUGAUUAGAGAUUGACUGUACCAUUCAAGAAAGCCACGGCUAACUACGUGCCAGCAGCCGCGGUAAUACGUAGGUGGCAAGCGUUAUCCGGAUUCACUGGGUGUAAAGGGAGCGUAGACGGCCAUGCAAGCCUGGAGUGAAAGCCCGGGGCCCAACCCCGGGACUGCUCUGGG
rnacentral:rRNA from 1 species